UACGAAGGGGGCUAGCGUUGCUCGGAAUCACUGGGCGUAAAGCGCACGUAGGCGGCUUAUUAAGUCAGGGGUGAAAUCCUGGAGCUCAACUCCAGAACUGCCUUUGAUACUGAUGAGCUUGAGUCCGGGAGAAGUGAGUGGAACUGCGAGUGUAGAGGUGAAAUUCGUAGAUAUUCGCAAGAACACCAGUGGCGAAGGCGGCUCACUGGCCCGGUACUGACGCUGAGGUGCGAAAGCGUGGGGAGCAAACGGG
rnacentral:rRNA from 1 species